AAUGGGAUAACUGGGUCAAAUGGUAGUUCCAUUCCAAGUUUUUUGAGGAACCUCCAUACUGCUUUCCAGAAUGGUUGCAUCAAUUUGUAAUCCCAUCAGCAUU
rnacentral:pre_miRNA from 1 species